GAGAGAAAUAACCGGCACCUUGAGGAUUCAAAAAAAAAAAAAUUCAGAUCUUAAACUAUUCUUUUUAAGACUCUUUAGGACUAGGUUGUAGCGUUAGGUUUUCGUUCUUUUGUUUCAGUUCAUGGUUUAAUGGACUUUUGUACUUUAUGUGCUUGAUUUUAUUGUAAAAGGGAGUUCCUAGUUCUAUUCAGAUUAUUGUUACACUACAAGAAUUUUAUUGUAUUAUUAUUGUUACACUACAUGAACUUCAUUAUAAAAGGGAGCUGCCCGUUCUAUGCACUGUUUUCAGUCA